UACGUAGGGGGCAAGCGUUAUCCGGAAUUACUGGGUGUAAAGGGUGAGUAGGCGGCACUGUAAGUAAGAUGUGAAAGCCUUAGGCUUAACCUGAGGAUUGCAUUAUAAACUGCAGAGCUAGAGUGCAGGAGAGGAAAGCGGAAUUCCUAGUGUAGCGGUGAAAUGCGUAGAUAUUAGGAAGAACACCAGUGGCGAAGGCGGCUUUCUGGACUGAAACUGACGCUGAGGCACGAAAGCGUGGGGAGCGAACAGG
rnacentral:rRNA from 1 species